GAUGAACGCUGGCGGCGUGCCUAAUACAUGCAAGUCGAGCGAACGGACGAGAAGCUUGCUUCUCUGAUGUUAGCGGCGGACGGGUGAGUAACACGUGGAUAACCUACCUAUAAGACUGGGAUAACUUCGGGAAACCGGAGCUAAUACCGGAUAAUAUUUUGAACCGCAUGGUUCAAAAGUGAAAGACGGUCUUGCUGUCACUUAUAGAUGGAUCCGCGCUGCAUUAGCUAGUUGGUAAGGUAACGGCUUACCAAGGCAACGAUGCAUAGCCGACCUGAGAGAGGGAUCGGCCACACUGGAACGGAGACACGGUCCAGACUCCUACGGGAGGCAGCAGUAGGGAAUCUGCCGCAAUGGGCGGAAGCCUUACGGAGCAGCGCCGCGUGAGUUAUAAAGGUCUUCGGAGCGUAAAACUCGGUUAUUAGGGAAGAACAUAUGUGUAAGUAACUGUGCACAUCUUGACGGUACCUAAUCAGAAAGCCACGGCUAACUACGUG
rnacentral:rRNA from 1 species